AUUGAACGCUGGCGGCAUGCUUUACACAUGCAAGUCGAACGGUAACAGGCCUUCGGGCGCUGACGAGUGGCGAACGGGUGAGUAAUGCAUCGGAACGUGCCCAGUCGUGGGGGAUAACUAUCCGAAAGGAUAGCUAAUACCGCAUACGAUCUGCGGAUGAAAGCGGGGGAUCGCAAGACCUCGCGCGAUUGGAGCGGCCGAUAUCAGAUUAGGUAGUUGGUGGGGUAAAGGCCCACCAAGCCGACGAUCUGUAGCUGGUCUGAGAGGACGACCAGCCACACUGGGACUGAGACACGGCCCAGACUCCUACGGGAGGCAGCAGUGGGGAAUUUUGGACAAUGGGCGAAAGCCUGAUCCAGCCAUGCCGCGUGCAGGACGAAGGCCUUCGGGUUGUAAACUGCUUUUGUACGGAACGAAAAGGACUGCCCUAAUACGGUGGUCCCAUGACGGUACCGUAAGGAUAAGCACCGGCUAACUACGUGCCAGCCGCCGCCGUAAAAC
rnacentral:rRNA from 1 species